GCCUUUAGAAAAUCCCUAAAAAUUCAUAGUGUGAUACAUAGAUAAUUUUCAUAACCAUAGAAAAGUAAGUUUCCAGACUUCAAAUAUCAAAUAGCGAUAAAAGGUGUUGGAAGGUGAUAAGUCAAUGGUUAUUUUUCUGAUACACCUCAUUUUGUGCCUACAAAAAAGAUUCAAGUUUUUUGAGUCAUACCAAUAAUAACCAAGUUUUAAAGCGAAAAAGUUAAACAUAGACGAGAUUAACAUUAACCUUUAUUGCCUUAAAGAGUUCUACAGCGAGGUAUUUCACUUCUGGAUUAGAACGAAGCAAUUUGUCAGGAUGAAGAAAAAGUAUGCCUUUUUCAGUGAUGAUUUGAUUCCUUCUUUGUGACUCACAUCAGUGAAAAAGAGUUUUUUCCAUUUAUUCCCAGGCUAAAGAAUCUGAUGUCAAAUAUGAUUUAGAAAAGAUUCGAAUUGUAAUGCAAACUUCCAAAAUUAUUAGAACUGAAACAUAUAACAUUAAAACUUACUUCUUCCGGUGUCGAAAGCAUUACUACUAUAUCUUUACUUCUUGCCCAUGUUUUGACUUUCAAGUCGAUUCGUUCCAUUUCUUCUAUACUUAGUUCUUUCACUUGAGUUAAAGGAGUUUGAACUGAUACAAACAAAACACAAAUUGAAGAUGUAAUUUCUCGAGGCACAU
rnacentral:lncRNA from 1 species